UCCAGGUGGUUGCUAGGCAGCUGCUAAGUGGUUGCUAGGCAGUUGCUAACGUUUUCCAGGUGGUUGCUAAGUGGUUGCUAGGCAGUUGCUAAUGUUUUCCAGGUGGUUGCUAGGCAGUUGCUAAGUGGUUGCUAGGCAGUUGCUAACGUUUUCCAAGUGGUUGCUAGGCAGUUGCUAAGUGGUUGCUAGGCAGUUGCUAACAUUUUCAAGGUGGUUGCUAAGUGGUUGCUAGGUAGUUGCUAACAUAUUCCAGGUGGUUGCUAGGCAGCUGCUAAGUGGUUGCUAGGCAGUUGCUAACGUUUUCCAGGUGGUUGCUAAGUGGUUGCUAGGCAGUUGCUAAUGUUUUCCAGGUGGUUGCUAGGCAGUUGCUAAGUGGUUGCUAGGCAGUUGCUAACGUUUUCCAAGUGGUUGCUAGGCAGUUGCUAAGUGGUUGCUAGGCAGUUGCUAACAUUUUCAAGGUGGUUGCUAAGUGGUUGCUAGGUAGUUGCUAACAUAUUCCAGGUGGUUGCUAGGCAGCUGCUAAGUGGUUGCUAGGCAGUUGCUAACGUUUUCCAGGUGGUUGCUAAGUGGUUGCUAGGCAGUUGCUAACGUUUUCCAGGUGGUUGCUAGGCAGUUGCUAAGUGGUUGCUAGGCAGUUGCUAACAUUUUCCAAGUGGUUGCUAGGCAGUUGCUAAGUGGUUGCUAGGCAGUUGCUAACGUU